rnacentral:rRNA from 1 species
GGUACCGUCAGGCCGAUGGGGUAUUGUUCCCACCAGUGUUUCGUCCCUCUCCCACAGGGCUUUACGACCCAAGGCCUUCAUCACCCACGCGGCGUCGCUGCGUCAGGGUUUCCCCUAUUGCGCAAUAUUCCCC